GAUACUGUCGAGCCAAGAAAAGUUUCUAAGUUUAGUUAUAGUUGCCCGUACCGUAAACCGACACAGGUGGGUGGGAUGAGUAUUCUAAGGCGCGUGGAAGAACUCUCUUCAAGGAACUCUGCAAAAUAGCACCGUAUCUUCGGUAUAAGGUGUGCCUAACUUUGUGAAGGAUUUACUCCGUAAGCAUUGAAGGUUACAACAAAGAGUCCCUCCCGACUGUUUACCAAAAACACAGCACUCUGCUAACUCGUAAGAGGAUGUAUAGGGUGUGACGCCUGCCCGGUGCUCGAAGGUUAAUUGAUGACGUUAGCUCUGCGAAGCGUUUGAUCGAAGCCCGAGUAAACGGCGGCCGUAACUAUAACGGUCCUAAGGUAGCGAAAUUCCUUGUCGAUUAAAUAUCGACCUGCAUGAAUGGCGUAACGAGAUGGGAGCUGUCUCGAAGAGGGAUCCAGUGAAAUUGUAGUGGAGGUGAAAAUUCCUCCUACCCGCGGCAAGACGGAAAGACCCCGUGGACCUUUACUACAGCUUGACACUGCUAUUGGGAUAAAAAUGUGCAGGAUAGGCGGGAGGCUUUGAUCCAUAGACGCCAGUUUAUGGUGAGCCAUUGUUGAGAUACCGCUCUUUUUUAUUCUGAUAGCUAACUAGCUUGAGUUAUCCUCAAGUAGGACAAUGUCUGGUGGGUAGUUUGACUGGGGCGGUCGCCUCCCAAAAUGUAACGGAGGCUUACAAAGGUUGGCUCAGAACGGUUGGAAAUCGUUCGUAGAGAUCCUGGGGCUGGAGCAGGUCCCAAGGGUAUGGCUGUUCGCCAUUUAAAGCGGUACGCGAGCUGGGUUCAGAACGUCGUGAGACAGUUCGGUCCCUAUCUGCCGUGGGCGCAAGAAGAUUGAGGAGAGUUGACCCUAGUACGAGAGGACCGGGUCGAACCAACCACUGGUGUACGAGUUGUUCUGCCAAGGGCACCGCUCGGUAGCUAUGUUGGGAUGUGAUAACUGCUGAAAGCAUCUAAGCAGGAAGCCAACUCCAAGAUGAAUCUUCUUUUAAGAGCUCAUAUAGACUAUGUGUUUGAUAGGCUGGGUGUGUAAUGGAUGAAAGUCCUUUAGCUGACCAGUACUAAUAGCUCGUCUGCUUAUCUUU
rnacentral:rRNA from 1 species